rnacentral:rRNA from 1 species
CACUAUACAGUGGAUCAUUUGGCUCGGGGGUCGAUGAAGAACGGAGCUAACUCCGUGACGCAAUGUGAACUGCAGGACACAUGAACAUCGACAUUUUGAACGCAUAUUGCGGACAUGUGCUUGUUGCAUGUCCAUGUUUGGGUCAGGGUCGGUUGAAACAUCCAU